GAUGAAGAACGUAGCGAAAUGCGAUACGUAAUGUGAAUUGCAGAAUUCAGUGAAUCAUCGAGUCUUUGAACGCACAUUGCGCCCCCUGGUAUUCCGGGGGGCAUGCCUGUCCGAACGUCAUUGCUGCCCUCAAGCACGGCUUGUGUGUUGGGCCUCCGUCCUCCUCCCGGGGGACGGGCCCGAAAGGCAGCGGCGGCACCGCGUCCGGUCCUCGAGCGUAUGGGGCUUCGUCACCCGCUCUUGUAGGCCCGGCCGGCGCUUGCCGACACAUCAAUCUUUUUUCCAGGUUGACCUCGGAUCAGGUAGGGAUACCCGCUGAACUUAAGCAUAUCAAUAAGCGGAGGA
rnacentral:misc_RNA from 1 species